rnacentral:rRNA from 1 species
AACGCGAAGAACCUUACCCGGGUUUGAAAUUCAAUGGAAGUCUGUAGAGAUACAGGCGUCCCGCAAGGGACUGUUGGACAGGUGCUGCAUGGCUGUCGUCAGCUCGUGCCGUGAGGUGUUGGGUUAAGUCCCGCAACGAGCGCAACCCUUAUUCUUAGUUGCCAUCGGGUAGAGCCGGGCACUCUGGGGAGACUGCCGCCAUAAGGCGGAGGAAGGUGGGGAUGACGUCAAGUCAGCAUGGCCCUUACAUCCGGGGCUACACACGUGCUACAAUGGCCGGUACAAAGGGCAGCGAUACCGCGAGGUGGAGCGAAUCCCAUGAAAGCCGGUCUCAGUUCGGAUUGCAGGCUGCAAUUCGCCUGCAUGAAGUCGGAAUCACUAGUAACCGCAGAUCAGCUACGCUGCGGUGAAUACGUUCCCGGGCCUUGUACACACCGUACGUC